UACGGGGGGGAGCAAGCGUUGUUCGGAAUUACUGGGCGUAAAGGGCGCGUAGGCGGCCUUCUAAGUCAGACGUGAAAUCCCUCGGCUUAACCGGGGAACUGCGUCCGAUACUGGUUGGCUUGAGUUUGGGAGAGGGAUGCGGAAUUCCAGGUGUAGCGGUGAAAUGCGUAGAUAUCUGGAGGAACACCGGUGGCGAAGGCGGCAUCCUGGACCAAUACUGACGCUGAGGAGCGAAAGCCAGGGGAGCAAACGGG
rnacentral:rRNA from 1 species